rnacentral:rRNA from 1 species
CACGUAGGGCGCAAGCGUUGUCCGGAAUUAUUGGGCGUAAAGAGCUCGUAGGCGGACUAUCACGUCUGCUGUGAAAAGCUGGGGCUUAACCCUGGCCUUGCAGUGGAUACGGGCAGACUAGAGGUAGGUAGGGGAGAAUGGAAUUCCCGGUGUAGCGGUGAAAUGCGCAGAUAUCGGGAGGAACACCGGUGGCGAAGGCGGUUCUCUGGGCCUUACCUGACGCUGAGGAGCGAAAGCGUGGGGAGCGAACAGGG